CGACGGCGAUUUCUUGGUCUCUGUCGAGAAUCAGAAAGUAUUGAUCAGGGUGAUUUCAUUUGAAGAAGAGAUGGAGCAGAGCCCGGCACCAUUUUCCGAAAUCGGCAGGCGGGCAAGAGAUCUACUGACCAAAGAUUACAGUUAUGAUCAGAAGUUCACCUUCUCUAUUCCGAGCUCCAGUGGGAUGGGAAUAACAGCUACUGGUGUGAAGAAAGAUCAAAUUUUUAUUGGUGAUAUAAGUACUCAAUAUAAGCUUGGAAGUACAGUUGUUGAUAUCAAAGUUGAUACCUAUUCCAAUGUCUCAACAAAAGUUACACUGGUUGAUGUUUUCCGAUCCACGAAACUGUCCUUAGGCUUCAACAUACCUGAUCACAAGUCUGGCAAGCUCGAUGUUCAGUACCUUCAUCAGCAUGCUGCUAUCAAUUCCAGUAUUGGCUUAAAUCCCUCCCCUCUCUUGGAGCUCUCGGUUGCUAUUGGCAACAAGGAUUUAGCCCUUGGUGGAGAAAUAGGAUUUAAUACUGCUUCAUCUUCUUUUACGAAGUGCAAUGCUGGGCUUAGUUUUAACAAACCGGAUUUUUCUGCUGCACUUAUGUUAACGGAUAGGGGACAAGCUGUGAAGGCAUCAUAUGUACACUUGGUAGAUCCAACAAAUGGAACUGAAGUAGGUGCAGAGAUGAUACACAGAUUAUCUACCUACGAGAACAGCUUCAGCAUCGGGAGUGCUCACAAGGUCGACUCAUUAACAUCGUUGAAGACUAGAUUUUCUGACAAUGGGAAAGUUGCAAUGCUUUACCAGCGGGAAUGGAGGCCAAAGUCACUUGUUACUUUCUCAGCCGAGUACGACACAAAGGCAAAGAGUUCAGUACCCAAGUUAGGUCUUGCCCUUGCUUUGAAGCCAUAAAAACUGCACUCUCUCUAAUUCAUCCAAUUUUACUUUGAUAGCUUGACUUUGUUAAAAAUUCUUUCAAAAGGCCACAAGUGUUGUUGCCCUUGCUUUGAAGCCAUAAAAACUGCACUCUCUCUAAUUCAUCCAAUUUUACUUUGAUAGCUUGACUUUGUUAAAAAUUCUUUCAAAAGGCCACAAGUGUUG
rnacentral:misc_RNA from 1 species